CAGCAGCCGCGGGAAUACAGAGGGUGCAAGCGUUAAUCGGAAUUACUGGGCGUAAAGCGCGCGUAGGUGGUUUGUUAAGUUGGAUGUGAAAGCCCCGGGCUCAACCUGGGAACUGCAUCCAAAACUGGCAAGCUAGAGUACGGUAGAGGGUGGUGGAAUUUCCUGUGUAGCGGUGAAAUGCGUAGAUAUAGGAAGGAACACCAGUGGCGAAGGCGACCACCUGGACUGAUACUGACACUGAGGUGCGAAAGCGUGGGGAGCAAACAGGAUUAGAUACCCCAGUAGUCCCUGUCUCUUAUCC
rnacentral:rRNA from 1 species